UACGUAGGGACCGAGCGUUGUCCGGAACCAUUGGGCGUAAAGAGCGUGUAGGCGGCUAUUUAAGUCCUGCGUGAAAUCCUGCGGCUCAACCGCAGACGGUCGUGGGAAACUGGAUGGCUAGAGUGCGGGAGAGGAGAGUGGAAUUCCCGGUGUAGCGGUGAAAUGCGCAGAUAUCGGGAAGAACACCCGUGGCGAAGGCGGCUCUCUGGAACGCAACUGACGCUGAGACGCGAAAGCGUGGGGAGCAAACAGG
rnacentral:rRNA from 1 species